rnacentral:rRNA from 1 species
UACGUAGGCAGCAAGCGUUGUUCGGAGUUACUGGGCGUAAAGAGUGCGUAGGUGGUGCCCUAAGUCUGUUGUGAAAUCUCCCGGCUUAACUGGGAGGGUGCGGUGGAAACUGGGGUGCUUGAGUGUGGGAGAGGUAAGCGGAAUUCCUGGUGUAGCGGUGAAAUGCGUAGAUAUCAGGAAGAACACCCGUGGCGAAGGCGGUUCUCUGGGACGGUACUGACGCUGAGACGCGAAAGCGUGGGGAGCGAACAGG